rnacentral:rRNA from 1 species
UACGUAGGGAGCAAGCGUUGUCCGGAUUUACUGGGUGUAAAGGGUGCGUAGGCGGCACAGCAAGUCAGAUGUGAAAUGCAUGGGCUUAACCCAUGAGCUGCAUUUGAAACCGUUGAGCUUGAGUGAAGUAGAGGCAGGGGAAUUCCCUGUGUAGCGGUGAAAUGCGUAGAGAUAGGGAGGAACACCGGUGGCGAAGGCGGCCUGCUGGGCUUUAACUGACGCUGAGGCACGAAAGCGUGGGUAGCAAACA